UACGUAGGGUGCAAGCGUUAAUCGGAAUUACUGGGCGUAAAGCGUGCGCAGGCGGUUUUGUAAGUCUGACGUGAAAUCCCCGGGCUCAACCUGGGAAUUGCGUUGGAGACUGCAAGGCUAGAAUCUGGCAGAGGGGGGUAGAAUUCCACGUGUGAGCAGUGAAAUGCGUAGAGAUGUGGAGGAACACCGAUGGCGAAGGCAGCCCCCUGGGUCAAGAUUGACGCUCAUGCACGAAAGCGUGGGGAGCAAACGAGG
rnacentral:rRNA from 1 species